CCUUGGACCUCAAAUCAGGAGACACCCGCGA
rnacentral:rRNA from 1 species